AGUACUCAAGCUCCACCCCCUGCAGCAAAGAGUCCUGUCCUAGCUGCUUGUGGAUCAACAUGUAGAACUCUCAGCUCCUUCUCCAGCAUCAUGUCUGCCUGGAUGCUGCCUUGCUUGCCUGCCAUAAUAAUGGAUUGAACCUCUAAAAAUGAAACUAACACAAGAGAGACCUGCCAAUCCCACAAGUUAGGAAAUUCCUUCCUGGGGUCACUGAGUUCACCUACCUAUAAGAUGACAAACUUGAAGCAAUCCCUUACUUUCUAACAUCUGUGACUUUAGUGACCAUCAAUUAUACAGAGGAACUGACCACACACACCUCUGGUCUUAGUCCCUUUGUCACAUGAAUGGAAAGACCCUACCGCCAGAAAGAGUGAGGCAUUGCAGAAAAUUAGAUCAUUUUAUUUUGGCUUCUCUAAUCUACAGCUUGUCUGAAGAGCCGAGAAGAUGAACCACCAUUUUAAGAUGACGUCCAGAGCAGAUAAGCAAGAGGAAGACACCAAAUAUGUUCUUUAAGGGCCAAGAUGAUGCUGAUGUGCCAGGUUUCAGAUUUGAGAGCAGCUGAGGCCAUGAUGCACCUGGAGCCUAAAGCAAAAACGGAAAAACCUGAAUGACAGCCCAGGAGUUUCCAGAGCAGUACAAAGUCCUCUAUCUGGCUCCUACAACUGUCGUAAUAAGAACUGCCAUCAUUUGCUGAUGAAAAUUAGGAAUGUAUUAACAGCAAUCACAUUUAACAGCUACAUCUGUGGGGUUUGCCAGACGUAACACAUUUUGAAUGAACUUGAUCUCCGUUGCUUCCUAUUGAUAGGUUGAGCUACAAACAAGGAAGCCGAUUUUAAUAUGCAUCCCCAUUGAAUUUAAACUGACCACCAAGCUUAUAAUCUCUGGCUGUAGAGACGAGGACACAAAGGGUUAAGUAACUUCCCCAAAGUCACACAAGCAGCCAUGUUGUUGUGACAGAAAACAUUAUUAGGGUCUUGGAGGAGGAAAUGUCCCUUCUCAAACAUUAAGCCAAGAAAAAAAUCAGAAACGUCCAGCUUAUAAUGUUAGAAUACUCUGAUUCUAUUACAGCACUUACUUUUCCCCCUCAAACUGAUACUUAAAAAACUCUUUGUCUGGGGGCUGGAGAGAUGGUUCAGUGGUUAAGAACACUGCUUUUCCAGAGGUCCUGAGUUCAAUUCCCAACAACCACGUGGUGGCUCAAAAUCAUCUCUAACAGGAUUGGAUGCCCUCUUCUGGUGUGUCUGAAGACAGCUACAGUAUGCUCACAUAAAAAUACAAAUCUUAACAAGAAAAUAAAAAAACAAACACCUCUUUGUCCAGGUGGUAAGCAGUUUGAGGGCCAUACUUACAUCUAGAAUUACAAAUGUGUACACAAGGUCAUACACACAAUUUAAUGACAAUAUGUUGUAUGUUCAAAUGAAAGAAUUAAAAAAAAAAGAUGUGUGUGUGUGCA
rnacentral:lncRNA from 1 species